CUUUCGUACAACCGGCCCCAGAAAAUCUAGACGUGGAAAACACAGGAAAAUACUUUAAACUACCUAUAACUAACAAAAACUAUUGUAGCUAAACAUUAAAAAGGUCUUUUCUACUCUCCCACGAUGUCUGCAAGAUCCAUACAGACAGCAGAUUUCCAAACAACAAACCCGGAGUCGGAUUGUGUCCGAUGAUCGAUCACGGAGUUCAUCGGUUGUCUUCUACACAAAUUUAACAAAUACAAAUCAAUCGAG